ensembl:lncRNA
AUGCCUCGUUUCCUAUUGGGUGACAGGAGAGGCCCUAGCUGUCUAAUACCUGCAGCCAUACAGCGACAACAUCCAUGCAUCUUUCAGCUCCUCUCAUCGGCGCAUCUUUCAGCUCCUCUCAUCGGCACAUCUUUCAGCUCCUCUCAUCGCCACAUCUUUCAGCUCCUCUCAGCCGCCGCAUCUUUCAGCUCCUCUCAUCGGCACAUCUUUCAGCUCCUCUCAUCGGCACAUCUUUCAGCUCCUCUCAUCGCCGCAUCUUUCAGCUCCUCUCAUCGCCACAUCUUUCAGCUCCUCUCAUCUUUCAGCUCCUCUCAUCACCACAUCUUUCAGCUCCUCAUCUUUCAGCUCCUCUCAUCUUUCAGCUCCUCUCAUCUUUCAGCUCCUCUCAUCGCCGCAUCUUUCAGCUCCUCUCAUCGGCACAUCUUUCAGCUCCUCUCAUCUUUCAGCUCCUCUCAUCGCCACAUCUUUCAGCUCCUCUCAUCGCCGCAUCUUUCAGCUCCUCUCAUCACCACAUCUUUCAGCUACUCAUCUUUCAGCUCCUCUCAUCUUUCAGCUCCUCUCAUCGGCACAUCUUUCAGCUCCUCUCAUCGCCACAUCUUUCAGCUCCUCUCAUCUUUCAGCUCCUCUCAUCGCCGCAUCUUUCAGCUCCUGUCAUCUUUCAGCUACUCUCAUCGCCGCAUCUUUCAGCUCCUCAUCUUUCAGCUACUCUCAUCGCCACAUCUUUCAGCUCCUGUCAUCUUUCAGCUCCUCUCAUCACCACAUCUUUCAGCUCCUCUCAUCGCCACAUCUUUCAGAUCCUCUCAUCACCACAUCUUUCAGCUCCUCUCAUCACCACAUCUUUCAGCUCCUCUCAUCACCACAUCUUUCAGCUCCUCUCAUCACCACAUCUUUCAGCUCCUCUCAUCGCUGCAUCUUUCAGCUCCUCUCAUCACCACAUCUUUCAGCUCCUCUCAUCGCCACAUCUUUCAGCUCCUGCCAUCUUUCAGCUCCUCCCAUCAUCACAUCAUUCAGCUCCUCUCAUCACCACAUCUUUCAGCUCCUCAUCACCAUAUCUUUCAGCUCCUCACCUCAUCUUUCAGCUACUCUCAUCGCCACAUCUUUCAGCUCCUCUCAUCGCCACAUCUUUCAGCUCCUGCCAUCUUUCAGCUCCUCCCAUCAUCACAUCAUUCAGCUCCUCUCAUCACCACAUCUUUCAGCUCCUCACCUCAUCUUUCAGCUACUCUCAUCGCCACAUCUUUCAGCUCCUGUCAUCUUUCAGCUCCUCUCAUCACCACAUCUUUCAGCUCCUCUCAUCGCCACAUCUUUCAGCUACUCUCAUUGCCACAUCUUUCAGCUCCUGUCAUCUUUCAGCUCCUCUCAUCGCCACAUCUUUCAGCUCCUGUCAUCUUUCAGCUCCUCUCAUCGCCACAUCUUUCAGCUCCUCUCAUCACCACAUCUUUCAGCUCCUCUCAUCACCAUAUCUUUCAGCUCCUCUCAUCACCACAUCUUUCAGCUCCUCCCAUCACCACAUCUUUCAGCUCCUCUCAUCGCUGCAUCUUUCAGCUCCUCUCAUCGCCACAUCUUUCAGCUCCUCUCAUCACAUCUUUCAGCUCCUCUCAUCACCACAUCUUUCAGCUCCUCUUAUCGCCACAUCUUUCAGCUCCUGCCAUCUUUCAGCUCCUCUCAUCACCUCAUCUUUCAGCUCCUCUCAUCGCCACAUCUUUCAGCUCCUCUCAUCGCCACAUCUUUCAGCUCCUCAUCGCCACACCAGAGAGCAGGGAAAGGUUGUGA